rnacentral:rRNA from 1 species
AUUGAACGCUGGCGGCAUGCCUUACACAUGCCAGUCGAACGGCAGCACGGGUGCUUGCACCUGGUGGCGAGUGGCGAACGGGUGAGUAAUACAUCGGAACAUGUCCUGUAGUGGGGGAUAGCCCGGCGAAAGCCGGAUUAAUACCGCAUACGAUCUACGGAUGAAAGCGGGGGACCUUCGGGCCUCGCGCUAUAGGGUUGGCCGAUGGCUGAUUAGCUAGUUGGUGGGGUAAAGGCCUACCAAGGCGACGAUCAGUAGCUGGUCUGAGAGGACGACCAGCCACACUGGGACUGAGACCCGGCCCAGACUCCUACGGGAGGCAGCAGUGGGGAAUUUUGGACAAUGGGCGAAAGCCUGAUCCAGCAAUGCCGCGUGUGUGAAGAAGGCCUUCUGGUUGUAAAGCACUUUUGUCCGGAAAGAAAUCCUUGGCCCUAAUACGGUCGGGGGAUGACGGUACCGGAAGAAUAAGCACCGGCUAACUACGUG